rnacentral:misc_RNA from 1 species
GGCGAGCUGCGUCAUCGUGAAGCGCGUGGACUUGUGCUGCAGCGUGUACGGCGACGGCUCGGUAUGGGUCAUGUAGUGCUGGCCGUUGUUCGCGCCGACGUUCCACAUCACGACGCCGGAGCCGCAGGUCGAGAA